rnacentral:tRNA from 1 species
GCAGGCGUAGCUUAAGUUAAAGCGUGACACUGAAGAUGUUAGGAUGGCCCCUAAAAAGGCUCGCAAGCA